UGGUAAUAAUCCAGAGCUAUAGCUUGACUUACUAUAUAUAGCAGUGCAAUGCUGCGACUGUGCUACCAAUCAAGCCUCUGGGUCUUUGUUUAAUAUUUGCUACACAUAAUAUAUCUUCAAGAGAGAGAGAGUGUGUGUGGCAUUAAUAUUAUUAUAAGUGAGUUUCUGAAAAUGAAGAAACCUACUUUCACUUUGCAUUGCGCUUUGUUUCUUCUUCUCCUCAGCUUCUCUUCUUUUCUUCUGCAGACUCUGACAUUCCAGCUGAUCAUGAUGAGGAAGAGAAGUUCAAGUUUGUUCCCACAAGCCGAUUUUCAAGAAGCCAUUUUUGAAGAUCCCUCCAAAAGUAAUUCCACUGAAGCCAUUCCCAGUCGAUGGAAAACCAAUUCCAAAGCCAAUUCCUGUCCAUGAUGAGAAGCCACUCCCAAUUCCCGGAUUCAAGAAGCCUUUCCCUAAGCCAUUCCCAUUUGUGAAGAAACCAUUUCCCAAACCCUUCAUUCCAAAGCCAAUCCCUAUAGUGAAGAAGCCAAUUCCUAAGCCCUUCAUUCCAAAACCGAUUCCUUUGGUGAAGAAACCAUUUCUCAAGCCUCUCCCAAAGCCAAUUCCAUUGUGAAGAAACCUUUUCCAUUCCCCAAAAAAGCCCUUCUUUCCUCCAGUUAAUAAUCCUUGAGACACCACACCAAUAUUAUUAUUCCUAAUUACCCAUAUGAAAAUUAAAAUCCUUCCUUUUGAUUGGAAAAAAAUAAAUCCAUGCUCAUUAUAUCUUCAGAUUUAUGUUAAUUGCCACCUGAAUUUCCAGAUAUCUCUCUCGUUUGUACUUUUUUAUGGUCUGGCAUCAUCCAGAAUAUUUCCGUUAUUAUAAAUAAAGCUUCUAGGAGCUGUUAUGUACACAGAAUUCCAUUAAUUAGAUAUGUCAUCAUCGUUGGGUUCUACAUAUAUAUUGCCCUUCCUUUUAUUCAUUUAUAUAAGGUCAAAUUAAAAACAAAUUUCAUGAAA